rnacentral:rRNA from 1 species
UGCCAGCCGCCGCGGUAAUACGGAGGGGGUUAGCGUUGUUCGGAAUUACUGGGCGUAAAGCGCACGUAGGCGGAUCAGAAAGUUGGAGGUGAAAUCCCAGGGCUCAACCCUGGAACUGCCUUUGAUACUGCUAGUCUUGAGUUCGAGAGAGGUAAGUGGAAUUCCGAGUGUAGAGGUGAAAUUCGUAGAUAUUCGGAGGAACACCAGUGGCGAAGGCGACUUUCUGGACCGAUACUGACGCUGAGACGCGAAAGCGUGGGGAGCAAACAGGAUUAGAUA